ensembl:lncRNA
UAAUAGUUGUGUCUGUUAGUGAAGAAGUGAAGUGAAUUCGCUCAGUCAUGUCCAACUCUUUGUAACCCCAUGGACUCUAGCCUGCCAGGCUCCUCCAUCCAUGGGAUCUUCCAGGGUAAUAUGCCAUUGAUCACCACAUGUGAAUGGAUCUUUUCAUUGUUUCUCAUUUCUGCCUACUACCAACCCAGCUGCUAUAAGCAUUUAUGUGCAAGCUUUUGUGUAGGGACUGUAGCCCACCAGGAUCCUCUAUCCAUGGGAUUUCCCAGGCAAAAAUACUGGAGUGAGUUGCUGUUUCCUUCUCCAGGAGACCUUCCCAACCCAGGGACUGAACCAGCAUCUCCUGUAUUGGCAGGCGGAUUCUUUACCACUGAGCCACCAGGGAAGUCCACUUUUAAACUUACACAUUCUAUUUAUUUAUUAUGCUCUCUUAUGAUCUUUGGAAUGUUUAC